rnacentral:rRNA from 1 species
GGCCCUACGGGGCGCAGCAGGCGCGAAACCUCCGCAAUGCACGGAAGUGCGACGGGGGGACCCCAAGUGCCACUCUUAACGGGGUGGCUUUUCUUGAGUGUAAAAAGCUUUUGGAAUAAGAGCUGGGCAAGACCGGUGCCAGCCGCCGCGGUAACACCGGCAGCUCAAGUGGUAGCCAUUUUUAUUGGGCCUAAAGCGUUCGUAGCCGGUUUGAUAAGUCUCUGGUGAAAUCCCACAGCUUAACUGUGGGAAUUGCUGGAGAUACUAUUAGACUUGAGGUUGGGAGAGGUUAGCGGUACUCCCAGGGUAGGGGUGAAAUCCUGUAAUCCUGGGAGGACCACCUGUGGCGAAGGCGGCUAACUGGAACAAACCUGACGGUGAGGGACGAAAGCCAGGGGCGCGAACCGGAUUAGAUACCCGGGUAGUCCUGGCCGUAAACGAUGUGGACUUGGUGUUGGGAUGGCUUCGAGCUGCCCCAGUGCCGAAGGGAAGCUG